rnacentral:rRNA from 1 species
GCUUACGGCCAUACCAGCCUGGGUACGCCCGAUCUCGUCUGAUCUCGGAAGCUAAGCAGGGUCGGGCCUGGUUAGUACUUGGAUGGGAGACCGCCUGGGAAUACCAGGUGCUCUAAGCA